rnacentral:rRNA from 1 species
UACGUAGGGUGCAAGCGUUGUCCGGAAUUAUUGGGCGUAAAGAGCUCGUAGGCGGUUUGUCGCGUCUGCUGUGAAAACUCGGGGCUUAACCCUGGGCCUGCAGUGGGUACGGGCAGACUAGAGUGCGGUAGGGGAGACUGGAAUUCCUGGUGUAGCGGUGAAAUGCGCAGAUAUCAGGAGGAACACCGGUGGCGAAGGCGGCCCACUGGUCCGGUACUGACGCUGAGGUGCGAAAGCGUGGGGAGCAAACAGG